GACGAACGCUGGCGGCGUGCUUAACACAUGCAAGUCGAACGGAAAGGCCCUGCUUUUGUGGGGUGCUCGAGUGGCGAACGGUGAGUAACACGUGAGUAACCUGCCCUUGACUUUGGGAUAACUUCAGGAAACUGGGGCUAAUACCGGAUAGGAGCUCCUGCUGCAUGGUGGGGUUGGAAAGUUUCGGCGGUUGGGGAUGGACUCGCGGCUUAUCAGCUUGUUGGUGGGGUAGUGGCUUACCAAGGCUUUGACGGGUAGCCGGCCUGAGAGGGUGACCGGCCACAUUGGGACUGAGAUACGGCCCAGACUCCUACGGGAGGCAGCAGUGGGGAAUAUUGCACAAUGGGCGGAAGCCUGAUGCAGCAACGCCGCGUGCGGGAUGACGGCCUCGGUUGUAACGACUUCGCCUCGUGACGAAGCGUGAGUGACGGUAAU
rnacentral:rRNA from 1 species